AAGUAGGCAGCACCCGUGCGUCCGAUUUCGGCUCGGGAGGAGGGGCUCACUCCCCC
rnacentral:tRNA from 1 species